CUCUCUCGCCGUCUCGCGUUCUCUCUCUCUACUUCUCUGCUGCGUUCUUUUAAUUCUGCUCCUUCUCAUCGUUCUUGGCCGAUCUUCACCUCGUCUUCAUACAAAUCUCAGGCAGAUUCGAAUUGCAAAUCAAGCCACUUGCUUCGAUUUUUCCCCAAUGGAAACCCAUGUGAAAAUUUCCCAUUGAAGAAAAACAAAGAAGAGAGGUUAGAAAUCAACAUGAACAGAGACAGUUCUCUUAAAGCAACUUCAAAAUUUUCUGAGCAAAGUCAAUUUCCUGUUAUAAAUGGUAAAGGUAAUGGUCAAUUGAUGUAUAAAAAGAAAGGGUCGAAGAAGACACAACAUGAUUCAAGUGUUAAAAAUGGCAAGCCAUCAAGUGUGUUUAAGAGGAGAGUAUUUUGCUUCUCCAAAUCCUUUCCUGAGAAUAGGCAUUUGCACCCAUGAAUGGAGGAACUGCUUCUGAGUUACCUGAUACAAACUCCUGGAAGCAACCAUUUGAUGCUCAGAGAUACUUUUCACAUAGUGAAAGUGACUGACAGGACUGUGUAUACCUUUUUUUUUUUUUUUGAGAAUAGGACUAUGUAUACCUAAAUAAAGAAAAGGAGCAAGUUGAGACAAUUUUCCCUCA